GAGUUUGAUCAUGGCUCAGAUUGAACGCUGGCGGCAUGCCUUACACAUGCAAGUCGAACGGCAGCAUGAUCUAGCUUGCUAGAUUGAUGGCGAGUGGCGAACGGGUGAGUAAUACAUCGGAACGUGCCCUGUAGUGGGGGAUAACUAGUCGAAAGAUUAGCUAAUACCGCAUACGACCUGAGGGUGAAAGUGGGGGACCGCAAGGCCUCAUGCUAUAGGAGCGGCCGAUGUCUGAUUAGCUAGUUGGUGGGGUAAAGGCCCACCAAGGCGACGAUCAGUAGCCGGUCUGAGAGGACGAUCAGCCACACUGGGACUGAGACACGGCCCAGACUCCUACGGGAGGCAGCAGUGGGGAAUUUUGGACAAUGGGCGAAAGCCUGAUCCAGCAAUGCCGCGUGUGUGAAGAAGGCCUCGGUUGUAAG
rnacentral:rRNA from 1 species